rnacentral:rRNA from 1 species
UAGGGAAUCUUCCACAAUGGACGCAAGUCUGACGGAGCAACGCCGCGUGAGUGAAGAAGGGUUUCGGCUCGUAAAGCUCUGUUGUUAAAGAAGAACGUGGGUAAGAGUAACUGUUUACCCAGUGACGGUAUUUAACCAGAAAGCCACGGCUAACUACGUGCCCG